UCCAAAGCCUUUGAACUCUCCAAGGCCUGAUAUCUGGAGCCACCAUUUCCCAAGCUUAUCUGAAGAAGGGUGCUACAAUUCAUAAGCAUCAGAUGCCCAGGAUAAAGACCAUUCGCUUUUAUGCUUUGUCAUCUUCAUUUUAGAGAUGGGCAACCGAGGAACAGAGAGGUUCAGUCACAUGCAUCUGAGGACAACAGGUCCCUGAGCUCUGCAUGAUGAACAAAUGAGCAAAGGAGGAACACACACAGAUUGUCUCCCACACACACUCACACGUUCAUUUGCACAGACCGUGGGGAAUGGAACACGAGAAAGAACAUUAAACAGUAAUUUGUUGGCCUCAAAGCCAUACGGAGCUUCUACAUAA
rnacentral:lncRNA from 13 species